CUCAACCCUGGUAGGUUCUCUCGAUACUCCGUGCCUGGGGACCGGUAGAGGCCAGUGGAAUUCCCGGAGUAGCGGUGGAAUGCGUAGAGAUCGGGAAGAACACCAGAGGCGAAGGCGGCUGGCUGGGCCGGAUCCGACGCUGAGGCGCGAAAGCGUGGGGAGCGAACAGGAUUAGAUACCCUGGUAGUCCUAGCCGUAAACGAUGGACACUAGGUGUGGGGGGAGUCGAAUCCCUCUGUGCCGCAGUUAACGCGUUAAGUGUCCCGCCUGGGGAGUACGGCCGCAAGGCUAAAACUCAAAAGAAUUGACGGGGGCCCGCACAAGCAGCGGAGCAUGUUCUUUAAUUCGAUGCAACGCGAAGAACCUUACCUGGACUUGACAUGGUGCUGCAAGCGCACGGAAACGUGUGACCUUCGAGGGUGC
rnacentral:rRNA from 1 species